GAAAUGCGAUAAGUAGUGUGAAUUGCAGAAUUCAGUGAAUCAUCGAAUCUUUGAACGCACAUUGCGCCCCUUGGUAUUCCAUGGGGCAUGCCUGUUCGAGCGUCAUUUGUACCCUCAAGCUCUGCUUGGUGUUGGGUGUUUGUCCCGUCUCCGCGCGUGGACUCGCCCCAAAGUGAUUGGCAGCCGGCGUACUGGUCCCGGAGCGCAGCACAUGUCGCGCAAACGAGUGCCUUGGUACGGCGGCGUCCAUAAGCCCCUCUCUCACGCUCUUGACCUCAGAUCAGGUAGGGAUACCCGCUGAACUUAAGC
rnacentral:misc_RNA from 1 species